rnacentral:rRNA from 1 species
GAUGAACGCUAGCGGGAGGCCUAACACAUGCAAGCCGAGCGGUAGAGUUCCUUCGGGGACUUGAGAGCGGCGCACGGGUGCGGAACACGUGUGCAACCUGCCUUUAUCUGGGGGAUAGCCUUUCGAAAGGAAGAUUAAUACCCCAUAAUAUAUUGAUUCGCAUGGAUUGAUAUUGAAAACUCCGGUGGAUAAAGAUGGGCACGCGCAAGAUUAGAUAGUUGGUGAGGUAACGGCUCACCAAGUCAGUGAUCUUUAGGGGGCCUGAGAGGGUGAGCCCCCAGACUGGUACUGAGACACGGACCAGACUCCUACGGGAGGCAGCAGUGAGGAAUAUUGGACAAUGGGUGAGAGCCUGAUCCAGCCAUCCCGCGUGAAGGAUGACGGCCCUAUGGGUUGUAAACUUCUUUUGUACAGGGAUAAACCUAGAUACGUGUAUCUAGCUGAAGGUACUGUACGAAUAAGCACCGGCCAACUCCGUGCCAGCCGCCGCGGUAACAC